UUGCCUUAGAAGCCUGAUUAACACACGUUGCUUUGAGGAUAAGGUGUUUAAUUUAUAAGUGCACCCCAUAUUUUUUUGUCAGUUUAUUCGCGGUGGGGAAGCUUUGAAAGUAGCUCCUCUCAGCAGGUUAAAAAGUGAAGUCUGCGUCCUGGCAUUUAAAUGUCUUUGUUAUUGUGUCAAGCAAGUUGUUGAAAACCGCAUGCUCGGAAUACUAAGGUUGGGCAGCUAGAUGAGGCAAGUUGUGUGUGUGUGUGUGUGUGUGUGUGUGUGUACACACACGCGCAAGGCUGUGUGUACGACGAGGACCAUUAUUUUCAUCAGCUGUUUGCUUGCCCGCGCCCGACUGCUCCUCUUUGCAGAACCGACGGCCUCCGAGCUUUCAACUCUGGAAGCAAAGCAAGAAGAAUUCCUCCAUUGAUACUCCCUGCUUGGGAGCGUCUGCCCUGGGGAGCGAGGCUCGGUCAAGGGGACCCCUGGCAGGGGAGCACUCGAGGGCUGCGAGAUUCCGGGUUUCGUCCUCCUGCGAUAUCCGCGAGGAGGGCCCGCGAGGGGCGCCCAGAGCCCUGCUCCCGGUGGGAGGGCGGCCGUCUGGAGGUCAAGGUGGGCGGAGGCAGCUGAACAAGCCAUAUUUCCUGAAACUGAGGAGCUAUAAAAACUGAGGAAAGAUGUUGCCCUAACACAAUUUGAAAACCUCUGAGGAAGGUUUUUUUCCCACGCCCUUUGCCUCAUCUGCACGCACUGUUGCUAGUUUUGCUGGGUGUUGCCCCUCUUAUCAGGUACAUUUCAGCAGAACUAAAGAAUACUUGGGAUUGUGUCUUAGCCCUUAUGUUCACUAGUCAGGUGAAAUCAGACAAGUUAUUAAACCCCCUUGAUUCUCACUGUUCUCAUCUAUGAAAUGGAGCAAAAAUUAAAAGUUUGUUGGCCUUUUUGGAGAUGCUAGUAAAGUUUUGGAGCCUGUCUUCAGCAAUGGUAGAAACCAAGCAGAUACUAGAGUCCAUCAGAAUUUUUCCAUGUUUCAAACCAGAAUAUUUUGGAAUGUCAUCUUUAAAGCCCCAGAGCCAGGGGAAAAAAAUGGAGAAAGAGAAAUAUCAAGUUAAGAAUUCACUGUUGGAAAAAUGGCCCAGAGAGAGUAACCAGAGUUCAAGAAGGGGCAGAAGAGUGCAGAGGGCAUUUCCACUCUAACACCUGAAAGGCCAUAUGAAAACACAAAAAGAAAGCCAUUUAUAAGCCAGGAAGAGAGCUCUCAACAAAAACUGAAUUGGCUAGCACCUUGGUCUUGGACUUCUAACCUCCAGAACUGUAAGAAAAUAAAUCUGUU